rnacentral:rRNA from 1 species
GAUGAACGCUGACAGCAUGCUUAAUACAUGCAAGUCAACUGUGGCGGACGGGUGAGUAACGCGUAAAGAACUUGCCUCACAGCUAGGGACAACAUUUGGAAACGAAUGCUAAUACCUGAUACUGUGAGAGAGCUUUGCGUCCCAUUAGCUAGUUGGAGAGGUAACGGCUCACCAAGGCGAUGAUGGGUAGCCGGCCUGAGAGGGUGAUCGGCCACAAGGGGACUGAGACACGGCCCUUACUGCUACGGGAGGCAGCGGUGGGGAAUAUUGGACAAUGGACCAAAGUCUGAACCAGCAAUUCGGUGUGCACGAUGAAGUUUUCGGGAUGUAAAGUGCUUUCAGUUGGGAAGCGGUACCGACAGAAGAAGUGACGGCUAAAUACGUGCCAGCAGCCGCGGUAAUAC